GUGUGUUCCAGGUAAAUCCGGUUCACUUUAACACUGAGGCGUGAUGACGAGGCACUACGGUGCUGAAGUAACAAAUGCCCUGCUUCCAGGAAAAGCCUCUAAGCAUCAGGUAACAUCAAAUCGUACCCCAAACCGACACAGGUGGUCAGGUAGAGAAUACCAAGGCGCUUGAGAGAACUCGGGUGAAGGAACUAGGCAAAAUGGUGCCGUAACUUCGGGAGAAGGCACGCUGACACGUAGGUGAAGUGAUUUACUCACGGAGCUGAAGUCAGUCGAAGAUACCAGCUGGCUGCAACUGUUUAUUAAAAACACAGCACUGUGCAAACACGAAAGUGGACGUAUACGGUGUGACGCCUGCCCGGUGCCGGAAGGUUAAUUGAUGGGGUCAGCGCAAGCGAAGCUCCUGAUCGAAGCCCCGGUAAACGGCGGCCGUAACUAUAACGGUCCUAAGGUAGCGAAAUUCCUUGUCGGGUAAGUUCCGACCUGCACGAAUGGCGUAAUGAUGGCCAGGCUGUCUCCACCCGAGACUCAGUGAAAUUGAACUCGCUGUGAAGAUGCAGUGUACCCGCGGCAAGACGGAAAGACCCCGUGAACCUUUACUAUAGCUUGACACUGAACAUUGAGCCUUGAUGUGUAGGAUAGGUGGGAGGCUUUGAAGUGUGGACGCCAGUCUGCAUGGAGCCGACCUUGAAAUACCACCCUUUAAUGUUUGAUGUUCUAACGUGGACCCGUUACCCGGGUUGCGGACAGUGUCUGGUGGGUAGUUUGACUGGGGCGGUCUCCUCCUAAAGAGUAACGGAGGAGCACGAAGGUUGGCUAAUCCUGGUCGGACAUCAGGAGGUUAGUGCAAUGGCAUAAGCCAGCUUGACUGCGAGCGUGACGGCGCGAGCAGGUGCGAAAGCAGGUCAUAGUGAUCCGGUGGUUCUGAAUGGAAGGGCCAUCGCUCAACGGAUAAAAGGUACUCCGGGGAUAACAGGCUGAUACCGCCCAAGAGUUCAUAUCGACGGCGGUGUUUGGCACCUCGAUGUCGGCUCAUCACAUCCUGGGGCUGAAGUAGGUCCCAAGGGUAUGGCUGUUCGCCAUUUAAAGUGGUACGCGAGCUGGGUUUAGAACGUCGUGAGACAGUUCGGUCCCUAUCUGCCGUGGGCGCUGGAGAACUGAGGGGGGCUGCUCCUAGUACGAGAGGACCGGAGUGGACGCAUCACUGGUGUUCGGGUUGUCAUGCCAAUGGCACUGCCCGGUAGCUAAAUGCGGAAGAGAUAAGUGCUGAAAGCAUCUAAGCACGAAACUUGCCCCGAGAUGAGUUCUCCCUGAGACUUUAGGUCUCCUGAAGGAACGUUGAAGACGACGACGUUGAUAGGCCGGGUGUGUAAGCGCAGCGAUGCGUUGAGCUAACCGGUACUAAUGAACCGUGAGGCUUAACCUUACAACGCCG
rnacentral:rRNA from 2 species